UGGGGAAUAUUGCACAAUGGGCGCAAGCCUGAUGCAGCCAUGCCGCGUGUAUGAAGAAGGCCUUCGGGUUGUAAAGUACUUUCAGCGGGGAGGAAGGGAGUAAAGUUAAUACCUUUGCUCAUUGACGUUACCCGCAGAAGAAGCACCGGCUAACUCCGUGCCAGCAGCCGCGGUAAUACGGAGGGUGCAAGCGUUAAUCGGAAUUACUGGGCGUAAAGCGCACGCAGGCGGUUGAUUGAGUCAGAUGUGAAAUCCCCGGGCUUAACCCGGGGAUUGCAUCUGAUACUGGUCAGCUAGAGUCUUGUAGAGGGGGGUAGAAUUCCAUGUGUAGCGGUGAAAUGCGUAGAGGUGUGGAGGAAUACCGGUGGCGAAGGCGGCCCCCUGGACAAAGACUGACGCUCAGGUGCGAAAGCGUGGGGAGCAAACAGG
rnacentral:rRNA from 1 species